rnacentral:sRNA from 1 species
UAAAGACUUGUUCUACCGGAUAGGAUAUC